AAUCAACGCUGGCGGCGUGCCUCAGACAUGCAAGUCGAACGCGGAAAGUUUCCUUCGGGAAGCGAGUAGAGUGGCGUCCGGGUGAGUAACACGUAGGUAAUCUACCUUUGGGUGGGGAAUAACAACCGGAAACGGUUGCUAAUACCGCAUAAUGCAGCGGCACCACAUGGUGACAGUUGUUAAAGCGGGGAUCGCAAGACCUCGCGCCUAAACGAGGAGGCCUGCGGCGGAUUAGCGUAGNGGUUAAGGGUAACGGCUUACCAAGGCAACGAUCCGUAGCCGGCCUGAGAGGGCGGGUCGGCCACACUGACACUGGAAAUACGGGUCA
rnacentral:rRNA from 1 species